rnacentral:tRNA from 1 species
GGAUGUAUGGCCGAGCGGUCGAAGGCAGAAGACUCAUAAUCUUCUUUCUCUAUAGAACAUCACAGGUUCAAAUCCUGUUGCAUCCA